CCACGGGCGGCUGCAGUGGGGAAUAUUGGACAAUGGGCGAAAGCCUGAUCCAGCCAUGCCGCGUGUGUGAAGAAGGCCUUCGGGUUGUAAAGCACUUUCAGUGGGGAAGAAAGCCUUGGGGCUAAUACCCUCGAGGAAGGACAUCACCCACAGAAGAAGCACCGGCUAACUCCGUGCCAGCAGCCGCGGUAAUACGGAGGGUGCGAGCGUUAAUCGGAAUUACUGGGCGUAAAGCGCGCGUAGGCGGUCUGAUAAGCCGGUUGUGAAAGCCCCGGGCUCAACCUGGGAACGGCAUCCGGAACUGUCAGGCUAGAGUGCAGGAGAGGAAGGUAGAAUUCCCGGUGUAGCGGUGAAAUGCGUAGAGAUCGGGAGGAAUACCAGUGGCGAAGGCGGCCUUCUGGACUGACACUGACGCUGAGGUGCGAAAGCGUGGGUAGCAAACAGGAUUAGAUACCCGAGUAGUC
rnacentral:rRNA from 1 species